CUGAGUCAAAAUAUCACCUAGGUAUUUUGCUUACAAAGGUGCCUGCCACCAAGACUAGCAAAAUGAGUUUGAAUUUUGGGACCAAAAAGGCAGAAAGAUCCAAUUCCCACAACUGUGUAUUGACCUCUACUUGAAUUAUAUGCACCAAAGACACUAAAGUAUGUGAACUCCUUUGUGCAUGUGUGCAUGCGUGUGUGUGUGUGUGUGUGUGUGUGUGUGUGUGUGUGCAGAAAAGGAGGCAGAGUUAAAAAUGGCAGCGAUGGAGUGCAUAAGAAGUGCAUAAGAUCCUCUUCCAGGAACUGUCCCACAUAAUACCAAAUACAUGCAUCUCUUACUGAUCUCUCAGGGAUGACCACCACCAUGGCUUCUCUGUGAAUAGACACAUGGCAGGACUCACUCAGUCUUGGAUGUGCAGAUGGAGUAUGCACAAGAAAUCAAUAUGGAGGUUCCUCAGAAAUUUUCACAUAGAUCUAACUGAAGGCCAUGGACCAACCUUAGUGGUGCAUGGACUGCUACUUUCAGUUUUCACAUGAUGGCUUAUUACUCAGAUUUUCUUAUUGGGCUAUGACUUUGCUCUUGGUAAGUAUUUGGUCUCGCUGAUUCUCAAUCAGUUCUCUGUUCUUACACAUUUUUGAGGUACCUCUAGCCACUGAGGCUUAUUUAUAUCUUCAAACCCCUCUAAAUUGGGGGACUUCUAAUACUUGAGGAAUCUGAGUGAAAAAAGCAAAGUAAGUUGAGCCCUUUGGUGUCCAGUGCACACAAAUCUAUGGGAAUCUAGAUAUGCUAAUCCUCUAGAACAUUCUUUAGGAAAGCAGCAGUAUGCUCUCAGGUCCCUGUGUGACCUCACUUACCUUUGCCAGCUUUGUGGGCUUCUCUACUGUUGGUCUGAGAACAAUUGGAAACUCCUGGAAUAGAUGUCUCAUAUCUCAUUUCCUUUGUCAUUUUUAGUAUACUAGUGGGAGUAUGUUUGAUGGAAAUAUACCCUUAAGAAUAUUAAUAAAACAAGUGCUUCAUAUGGACCAUCAGGAUGAAGUACCAAGUUCAAGGGCAGUUCUGCAGGAACUGCUCAAAGCCAGCCAAGUGGAGCAAGAAGAAAGCCAAGCAGAAGUCAUUCAUUACCAGCACCCUCAGCACCUUUUUCCAGGACAGGGUCACUUAGCUUUGGUAGGAGAAGGGAUGACCUGAGAUAGCUGCCCCAUGUUCCCUCAGAAAAGAAGCGGCCAGCAAUAUUGCGGAAAGAUUACGGGUGUCAGGGGGCAGUAAGCAGAGUGCAAAGUGAAUAAGUAAAAAGAUAUUAAUGCAAAAAUAUCUAAUUAUUUAGAAAAAUGGGACAAAAUGUAUUGUUCUACUAACUCUAGUGUGUAUACACUGGCAAUCACUUUAACAUCCACAGAGAAUAGAUGUUGUUAAGUUGGGUGCCUUUUUUAUUGACAUAAACUAUGUACAUAGCAAAGAUAAAUAAAAAAAGAAAGACUUGCAUCCCACAGAUCCAAUAUUCUCCUCAAGUCUAAGUGUUUGUGCUCACCAUUACCAGAAUUCUAGAGACCUCUGUUCAUCCAGGUCUCAGGGCUUAUCCAAAAUACAACCCUGAGCCAGCUGUGGCAAGUGUUCCUGUGUUGUUGGCUGACCUCUGCCUCAGGCUUCAGAGACACUGGAAGGGCAGCCUUGGCCUUCAGGCAGCAGCCAUUCCAGGUCCUCUGUCAGCUAAUGGAGUCUUCCACAGAGGCCUGUCAUCUCAAAAAUAGAAGCUAGGGUAUUCCAAAGAUUGUGAUGCCACUCUACAGUCACGAUAAAUUGGUUACGUGAGACCAUACAAGUUACGGAGUUUUCUUUUCUUUUCUUUUCUUUUCUUUUCUUUUCCUUUUCCAUCCUUUCCUUUACUAUCCUUUCCCUUCCCUUCCCUUCCCUUCCCUUCCCUUCCCUUCCUUUCCUUUCCUUUCCUUUCCUUUCCUUUCCUUUCCUUUCCUUUCCCUUCCUUUCCUUUAAUUUCCUUUCCUUUCCUUUCCUUUCCUUUCCUUUCCUUUCCUUUCUUUUCCUUUCCUUUCCUUUUUGUUUCUUUUCUUUGCUGUAAAAUGUGGCACUUUACAGGUUGGGAUGUAGCACCGUUGGUGGAGUGUUUACCUAGCUAGUAUAUACAAAGCCCUUGUUUCAAUCCCUAGAACUGUGUAAGGUAGGUAUGGUGUAUCGUGUCUGUAAUCUCAGAACUCUACAGGUAGACAUGUGGGAAGCAGAAAUUCAUCCUCAGCAUACAGUGAGUUUCAAGUUGGCCUGACCCAGAGGAACACAAGAAAAAAAAGCUGAUGUCUUCUCUCUCUCAUUCUCUCUUUAUUUAUUUAUUAAUUUUUUGUCCUAAUUUUUUUUGGUAGAGAGAAGGAAAGAGAUGAACAUGUAUUGAGUUCCCUGGUAUCUACCAAAUUUGUAUAUUACUUUUCGGUUAAUAUUAUAAUCUUACACGCGUUCGCGCGACCGGCCAGGAAGAACACAACAAACCGGAAUCUUCUGCGGCAAAGCUUUAUUGCUUACAUCUUCAGGAGCCAGAGAGCAAGAGAGCAAGAGCAAGAAAGCAAGAGAAAGAACAAGAACAAGAAAGCAAGAGAGCAAGAGAGAAAAAGAACAAGAACAAGAGCAAGAAAAAGAACAAGAGCAAGAGAAAGAACAAGAACAAGAAAGCAAGAGCAAGAGAGAGAAAAAAAGCAAGAACAAGAGAGAGAAAAUGGCAAAACCCCGUCCCUUUUAAGGAGAAUUAUCCUCCGCCUAGGACGUGUCACUCCCUGAUUGGCUGCAGCCCAUCGGCCCAGUUGUCAUCACGAGAAAGGCAGAACACAUGGCGGGAAAACUGCCCCUGCACGUGUGCAGAUUAUGUUUACUACUUAGAACACAGCUGUCAGCGCCAUCUUAUAAUGGCAAAUGUGAGGGCGGCUCCCAACAUUAUAACAAGCAUUAAAUUGUAUUCAGAACCAUAUUUUGAUUACUAUCUUUGUGCGCUUUGGAUCUCAUGACAGUGAUAGUUACCUGAGGUGCUUAAUUACCAUUUAUGUGACAGUAAAUUAUUUAAGUUCACUGUCUCCCUCUACAGCCCAACACUGUAUAGUUUGUAUGGUUCACCGAGACAGGGUUUCUCUGUGCAGCACUGGCUGUCCUGGAACUCACUCUGUAGACCCGGCUGGCCUGGAGCUC
rnacentral:lncRNA from 1 species